UUUUUUAAUAUCAAUUUAUGUUUAAGAACUGAGCAACAUUCUUCCUGGCAGACACGUUGAUGCGGUCCGCAAGCACCAUGCCAGCAAGUCUCACAUUGAUUUCCUUACAUGUAUGUUGAACACCAGAGGCAAGCUAUACACAUUCCGAUCUGAAGACUGGGAACAGUUGAAGCAAUUUAUCGAUGCUUUGGAAGCUCUUUUUGGGAUACCGUUUAUACAGUGACAUGAUUUUAUGCAACAGUUAUCUGCUAUAUACCACAUAUAAUUAUUAACUUUAAUAGUAUAGUUGUUAGAAAAAGUAAGGAAAAAAUUAAGAAUUUGCAUUUUUUUCACGAUUUCUUCAAUUUAACAUGAGGAUGUUAAGCAAGCGAAGUUUUGUCAACACGGACGUCAGAUUGCUUAGGGGGAACUGGUCGGAUUAAAAACUGUGUUUGUGCCAGUUUGUGGUAAUCUUCAAUACAUGUGACAAAACAUAGGACUUUUAAAGUUUUUUGCUUUCUUACACGAGCGCUAUGAGGCAAAAGCUGCUAAAAUUAGUAAUACCAAUUUUUGGGUGACGACAUAUAUGUAUGCAGUGUUGACAAAAUAUUGCUUCCUUCAGUUGAAUAUAAUUACGUCUAAAUAUAAAUAAUUAUGAUAUAAUCGCGUAUACAAACAUUUUGUCAUUAAACCUAUUCCUAAAAUUAUAGUUGGCAGAGAUAUAAACAAAACUAAAUAUAACUAGUAGCUAAAUAUCCACUGUUUUUUGUUGUGAUUUUGGCAUCUCGUACAAUAGGGGUGACAGUAGAUGGGAUUUUUGAGAUUGAAUUUUCGAACGCAACUACUCCUGCUUGGGUUUAAACAUAGUCAAUAUAAUGGGAAGGUUACUCAGGUUAGGAAACUAACUUUGGAAAAUAACUUUGCUUUCUUUUUUAUUUAAAAAAUUCAAUAUAAUAAAAAAGGGAAUCAAUAUUAAAGAUACACUG